AAGUCAGGAGGCGAGGGAAGCUCAGCUGUUGGGGCUCAUUCCAGGAAGCUAGCGAUGGCGGCACUGUGCUUUCUGCUGCCCCAGAAGCCCCUGUGCCCUGGGCCGUGCUGCUCCGUCUCUGAGCUGACCUGGAGAACAUGCCAGUCAUGUGAAGUGCAAGAUGGCAGCUGUGGACUGUCACACUGUCUGACCCUGGAAAUCCAGAGCUCCAUCGAGUGGCACGAGCUCCGUGCGGGAAAAGGCCUGGCAGAUCUCCUAAUUAUGGAGAGCCUGGAGCCUACCCAAAGAAACACAGAGCACCCUCAGAGUAGAGCACUGAUCCGUCACAGGGCAUGCUCGAAGGCCAAUACAAAGAAGUUGGUUUACCAAAAUCUCACUCCUUCAGACUGACGAAAGAAACCAGAGCAGCAGGAGGAAACCCAUGGUGAACACAUGGAGAACAUAGGAAUUCAACGCAGAGAGCUGUGCCAGGAAUUCCAAACACACAACCCUGGAGGUGAGAAGCCACAUGACAAGCACACCACUCCUGAUGGGUUCAUUAUGAUUUAAAUACCUAGAAAGGACAAACGAUCCUAGAGACCCAUUUUGUUCCUGCCCUUGGUAAACAUGGGGACGCCAUGCCCAAAGUCACAUGUGACUGGGGGGGACUUCCGUCGCCUCUCGCCAAGAACACAGCCGCAGUGGCCCACUCUGGCGAGGAUGAGCAUCUGGGCUGUCCCACCCGCCUAACAGCCCCCUCAAUGGCUUUGCAGCUUCAGAGCUCUUUAAUGGAUGGUUCCUCCCCAGAACUCUCACAGCAGAUUAAAGCCUUGUGUAAAAAUUACUGACCACUAGCUUCGCAGAGGGGAAGAGAGAAAAAAGCAGAAUGGAAGGGAAAAACUGAAAGAAAAACAGCCUCAUAUCCCAGUUCAUUAAUCCAGCUACAGUAGUCAUCUCACAUCUCACGUCUCGUUAAGAAUCAUUUUAAACUGAUUAUUGGAUAAUAUACUGGGCAUUUUUAUAAAUAACUUUGUUGUUAUUUUUUAUAUAACUGACAAAUACUAGUGCAUUAACUUCUUUAAUGCAAAAUAAAAGGUAUAGUAUCAUUCUCACUUGCUUAAAGUAUUUUUUUUUAAUACAACAGAACUGCAUACUUUACUACCUGCUGAACUAAAAUGAUGCAAUGAAAAAUAUAUUUUUUAAGCGCAGUGAUCUAAAUAUCAUGAUCUCCUAAUUUCUUUUUUAACUUGUCUCCAAUGGCAUUUGAAGCUUUUACAUUCAUAAGGUAAUUCCCAGGCUCAGUUUUCUGAAUAGGUGCCAACACAGACAGUUACCGAUGCAAGAUUGCGGAACUGAAAGUGCACGUCUAUGCGAGGGGCUUAGCCUGCACCUGCGCACCUGAGACCCUGAUCCCAUCGCUGAUGUGUCAACUGCAAAACCGUGCCAAACAACUGACUUGCAGCUCUUCCUUCCUCAUUGAGAACUUCGAAAGAAGAAAGCAACCAGGAGCUCCACUGCCACCCACAGGAGGAGCCAUUUGUAUGAUCAGAAAAUGUUAAUAAAGAA